AUUGAAGAAAAUCACGCCGUUACCUCAAUUCCUAUUCUCUUCAUCUCGUCUGUCUGUCGACAACUCUCCUCCGGCCAUCUUUUGUGCCGCUAGCCAACGCUCACGGCCGUUCACCUCUUCAGGUUCUUGUUAUUUCCCUUUCUCUUCAGUGCGGGCAGUAAAGCCUUCUUCUGCGCACUCAACCUUCAUCUAUUCCUACAAUGCAACAGGCGGGAUCAUCGGCAUCGGAGACUGAGGUGACGUGGGAAGAUCAACAGAAUAUCAAUAAGUUUGGGAGAUUGAACAACCGCCUUCAUGAAGUAGAGGAUGAAAUCAAGAUUGCUAAGGUAUUUGACUGUUCGGGUCUUUUGCAAUCAGUUUUUUUGCAUUAGGAAUUUAAAUUAGUUUGAUCUUUUUUUUAACUAUGAGUUAUAUUCAGUAAUUUAUAAUGAGUGCUGGAGAGUUCGAGGGUUUGCUAGUGAGAUAAUCAGUUUAUUACUAGAAUUUCUGAAUUUCUGAUAAAGGAACCAUGUAUCUAUCGUGAGCGGGUAUGUAACAUAUUUGUUCUCAGCCUGUGGGGAAACACAUGAGCAUCCUUUUGUAAGUUACUCAUAUUUAGAUCCUUUGCUAAAAAUAAAGAAUGGUGGAAAAAUGGCUUCCGAAUUUUUGUUUA